rnacentral:rRNA from 1 species
AUUGAACGCUGGCGGCAUGCUUUACACAUGCAAGUCGAACGGUAACAGGCCGCAAGGUGCUGACGAGUGGCGAACGGGGGAGUAAUGCAUCGGAACGUGCCCAGUCGUGGGGGAUAACGCAGCGAAAGCUGCGCUAAUACCGCAUACGAUCUAUGGAUGAAAGCGGGGGACCGUAAGGCCUCGCGCGAUUGGAGCGGCCGGUGUCAGGUUAGGUAGUUGGUGGGGUAAAAGCUCACCAAGCAAACGAUCUGUAGCUGGUCUGAGAGGACGACCAGCCACACUGGGACUGAGACACGGCCCAGACUCCUACGGGAGGCAGCAGUGGGGAAUUUUGGACAAUGGGCGCAAGCCUGAUCCAGCAAUGCCGCGUGCAGGAAGAAGGCCUUCGGGUUGUAAACUGCUUUUGUACGGAACGAAACGGCUCUGGUUAAUACCUGGGGCUAAUGACGGUACCGUAAGAAUAAGCACCGGCUAACUACGUGCCAGCCGCCGCGGUAAUAC